rnacentral:rRNA from 1 species
AGAGUUUGAUCAUGGCUCAGGAUGAACGCUAGCGGGAGGCCUAACACAUGCAAGCCGAGCGGUAGAGAUUCUUCGGAAUCUUGAGAGCGGCGUACGGGUGCGGAACACGUGUGCAACCUACCUUUAUCUGGAGGAUAGCCUUUCGAAAGGAAGAUUAAUACUCCAUAAUAUAUUGAUUGGCAUCAAUUGAUAUUGAAAGCUCCGGCGGAUAGAGAUGGGCACGCGCAAGAUUAGUUAGUUGGUGAGGUAACGGCUCACCAAGACGAUGAUCUUUAGGGGGCCUGAGAGGGUGAUCCCCCCACACUGGUACUGAGACACGGACCAGACUCCUACGGGAGGCAGCAGUGAGGAAUAUUGGUCAAUGGGUGCAAGCCUGAACCAGCCAUCCCGCGUGAAGGACGACUGCCCUAUGGGUUGUAAACUUCUUUUGUAUAGGGAUAAACCUACCCUCGUGAGGGUAGCUGAAGGUACUAUACGAAUAAGCACCGGCUAACUCCGUG